rnacentral:lncRNA from 10 species
UUUUUUUUUUUUUGAGAAACCAAAUAUAGAAUACUAAUUGUAUAGUUUUUUGAUAACAAUUAAGUUGUUCCAUUUGGAUUAUAAAAAUAUAUAAUAGUACCUAUUUGGGCUCAUGUCAUAUGUUUUAUUAACAUGUACUUCCUGGUUUAUAUCAAAUUACAGAAUUUUAGAGUUUCAGAAUAAUUUGAAUUUAGAAAGCUAUUACUGUAAUUAUGUGGGGGCAUUAAUGGAGGCUUGUAAUUGUAAUGCUGAAAAUAUAAAUUAAUUGGCUUGUAAAUGAGACAGGUAUAGCAAGUAAAUGAGGUCCUGAGGGUAUAUUUUUAUUCAGCUACUGAGUUGCAGGAUAAAGUCAAAAUAUUUACCGAGGUUAAUGGAAUAAUUAUAUAGGAUUUAUCUAUACUAUUAAAAUUACAUUUAAAAUAUAGAGCUAUAUUGCUUACCUUAAAUUAUAAAAUGAGCUUUCUCCAAAUUCAAAAUGCUUGUAAUUCACAGUCAUUUUUGGAUUACUGUAAAAAGGUAACUAACUGCCUUUUUACAAUUAGGAAUUUAUUUACAACUUUCUCUUCCAAUCCAUUUUCUAGUCUUUUAUACAAAAGACUCAUCUGCUUUCAAGGUUAGUUCAUUUAAGUCAUAAGGUAGAGAGAAGCAAGUACAGAAUACAACACAGAACCACAGCCAUAAGGUAGAUUUCUCAAGUACUGUCCCUAAUGUUACCGGGGGUCCUUGCUUCCAGAGCUCCCAAGAUGGUGGUGGGCCACUUCCAAGAUGGUGGCAAGAGUCGUAUUCUCUGACCUGGGGUUCUUGGUCUCAUGGAUUCCAAGGAAUGGAAUCUUGCGCCAUGUGGAGAAGCGUCAGAUAAUUAGGCAGCAGUCCAACAAUUAGGUUUUGUGGAACUUUUACUAUGUCAUCUAUUUAUUGGAAUUCCCCCUGGAUACCAGGACCCCCUCCAGCAGAGCUUAAAGUUA